GUUUGGAUCUAUCUGGCCUCAUCUUUCCGGAAAAGGGAGAAGAAAGUUGGUUUCCCCACCCACAUCUGGUUUCCUAUCUUUAAGUCUGGAUCCAGUGUUGCUGUGCUGUCAUCAGAGCUGGAACACUUUGAUGCUUCCCCUUGACGUGAGUGUUUGGAUCUGAGAAGAAAAUAUACAGAGGAUGCUGAUGGAGACCUGAUGUGCUGUUUGAUUUCUGAAAUGGGAGAAGAUCGGCAGAGAGUGGGAAGAAUGCAGAGGAGCAAAGAAGGGAACACAUUCAUAACUCUGGAACUAUUAAUGUCAACAAAGAACAUAUGGAACCAGGCACUUCUGGGGCUACUGUUUGAUACUUCUGUGCUGAAUCAGAAGUGAGAGUUCUACAUGCUCACCAUAAUAUCCUGACUGAUCUUGGGUUUCUCAACAUUGGCUGUGUGGACUAGCGCGGAACUGGGGUCAGCAGACUUGAGAAUUGAUGGGCUUGUGAGAUCUGACUUGAUGUAACUGAACAGAACAAAAAAAAAAGAAUGUCAGGCAAGGGUGAGCUUCUAGGUUUCUCUGGGAUUGCAAAAGUGAGG